GAUCUGGCUCAGGAUGAACGCUAGCGGCAGGCCUAACACAUGCAAGUCGAGGGGCAUCACGAGGUAGCAAUACUUUGGUGGCGACCGGCGCACGGGUGCGUAACGCGUAUGUAACCUACCUAUAACAGGGGCAUAACACUGAGAAAUUGGUACUAAUUCCCCAUAAUAUUCGGAGAGGCAUCUCUCCGGGUUGAAAACUCCGGUGGUUAUAGAUGGACAUGCGUUGUAUUAGCUAGUUGGUG
rnacentral:rRNA from 1 species